CGCACUCGCGCCCCCACCCACCCACGCCACUCUCUUCCCCGAUCCCCUCCCACGAACCCUAACCCCCUCCCUCCUCUUCGCAUUCUGGGCGGCCAUGGACGACUCCAUGAGCGGGACCACCGCUGUCGCGGCGCUCGUGGCCGGCGGCGCACUCCACGGGGCUCAGGACAUCCGCGGCGGCGCGGACUGUGGACCCAGAGGUAGGGCCCGUGAUGCGUUCCGUUCGAGGGGCUGGUCGGGUUGGCGCGGGAUCUGAGCCACCGUCGAUGGAUUUCUCGUAGCUUGGAUCCUGUUGCUUUGGAUCAGGGCGAGGAGCCGCCGCCAUGUUUCUCCCCGAGCUCCGUGGUAGAAUGGUCUAUUUGUAUCAGAUUGUGUUUACUGUUUAGUGGAUGCGAAGAGCUCAGUUAUGGUAAGCUAGAGCCUGAGGCGUGCAGCAGGUAUGUGGAGAUUAAGGAGUGUGCCCAUGUGAGCGGCUUCGAUUUUGUUGUGCCAAGAUCUCUGGUGGCAGGGAUUCACUUCCUUUUUUUGGUGAUAGUCAGGAGGUUAUAUAGUUUGAUGUUUCUAAAUUUUAACAAUCAUGUUUUACAGUACCCUUGACAUGAAUGAGAUGACUGGGCUUAAAUGAGAACGAUGAGAACCAUCCUGUUCUCCGUCGCAAUCAGCAUGAGUUUAAACUACUACUGCAGCAAAUGUUUGUUGUACCUUCAGUUUAUGCCGUAGAAUUUGUGUUUCAUUGUCACUUUUGUGUGUGUUUGAUUUAGUAUCUUUACUCAGGUGCUUGCUAUAGGAGAAGAUUAAUGGUCCGACACGGCUUCAUGAUUUAUGAGCUGGAGGAGAGGGCAUUGGAUGAACCAAUCAGUUCGAAGCUGUAGAUUUCUGAUUUGAUUCCAGAGUUUGGAGGUGGAUGUUACUAAUGGGAGGAAGUUGAUCACAAGUUUUCUUUCAGCGAUUGGGACAUCAUGUGCAUAUGUAUGAGUUUGCUUUGCUUCGGUUGAAGAUAUAUGUGUGCCUGAAGAUACAAUCUUACAUGCAUUUUCUGUAUGAUAUGAUCACUCUUUCGUUCUCUGCGUGUACGUAGGUUGCCACAAUGAGAAGGCUCCUCCGUGCUUAAUAGGAAGAGACAGGGUUGCAACCACACUGCACGACGGCAGGCCAUGGCGAGCCGCACCGCACCGGGUGGGCUAGGGUGAGCUCCACCGCGAGAGAGCGCACUCGUCGCCCAUGCCGGCGGUGUCCCGGCCACGAGCAACUGGAACACAGGGUCCUUGACCUCGGUUGGAUCUCCUCCUUCUCCGUCCACAUGCGUGCAGCAACAACUAGCAGCCGCACGGGUCUGAGCUCGGCCGCUCAAUUUUGUUUCACUUUUCAAGGAUGAGUAUCUUUACUUUGAAAAUGAACUGGUCAUAUUUCUAUCGGAAAUGAAGUGAUGUUGCUUCCCAGGUAAAUAACUGAAUUCUCUUCUACUUUAGUAGAUUCAGUAACUUUGCUUUAGAGUUGUUGUUUAACAGUAGCACUACCAUUGAGUAACUAGAUCAAUGGCUGCCACUAUGUAAAUCUUAGUUCAAGUAGAUAUGAUAAUCAUGGUUCUUCUGUCUUGGUCUGAUGAUUUUAUACAUGCUAACAAGCAUCCAUGCGAUAUGUUCUUUACUUCUGCACCUAACAGCAUGUUUUCGCACAAAAAAGUAAACGUGCCGCGGCAAUCAUGCGUUUUAUCAUUUUAAUUGGUAGUCAAGUUCGUCCUUCAAAUGAUAAAGAAGGCAGUCAAGUUCCAUCCUCUAAUUUCUUGUGAUCUUUGUAGGACCAAUUGGGAUGUAUACCUGAAGGAGUGAAUCUACUGGUUCAGCUGAAAAUUGAUCUCUAUUUGGUUUCUGUUUUUGCGUUUGGUUUUGCCGGCCGCUCGUCCUUCGUAUGCUCAUCCAUCUUGGCUGCUCUGCUUGCUUGCUUCUCCUCUCUAACUCAGGUUCUGCGAUCUCUUGUGUUGCUGCGUCUCGAUCUUCUGCUUUGUUGCAUCUCUGUUCUAUCAUCAAGAGGACGUGUUUGUAUUUGCUGGGGUAGAAUUCAAAUUGUGAGGGAUGGUUGUGCUCAGAUUUGGUCGCUGCUGGUCGGUUCUUGACUUCAGCGCAUGAAAACCUGCAACUGCUAUCAACCGAACCACAGGAGGGAGCAGCAGGCAUAGAAGAAGUCACAAGCCAAUUUUGCUUAGCUGUAGCAUAUUUCACUGACAAUAAGUCUGCACAGCAGCCUGGUCAGGCUGAUGUUCUUGCUCAGUAUAAGCCAACAAUGGAGAAACUGACCAAGCUAUCUUUCAUGAUCAGUUACACACCAAGCCUAUAUUUUUGCUACUUCUACAUGUUGCUAUGAUGGUCAUUCAGCCCAUUUUCUUGAACCUGCACUACAACGAGAGAUCUGGGUUGCUUCUUUGUGGCUUCCAAACUUGAAAUGUUUGUUCGGAAGUUAGUUUAGUUUUUUGUUGUGGAUUCACAGCUUCUCACAUGUACCGUUCUCUUAGACUUUUAGAUUUCCAAAGAAACUAAAUGAAUAUAUGGUGGUAUGGUCUCAA